GACGAACGCUGGCGGCGUGCUUAACACAUGCAAGUCGAACGGGGUCCAUGAGAGCUUGCUCUCGGAAGACCUAGUGGCGAACGGGUGAGUAACACGUGAGAAACCUGCCUCGGAGUGGGGAAUAACUCGAGGAAACUCGAGCUAAUACCGCAUACCUUCAUUUGACCGCAUGGUCAGUUGAAGAAAGAUUUAUCGCUCUGAGAGGGGUCUCGCGGCCUAUCAGCUUGUUGGUGGGGUAACGGCCUACCAAGGCAACGACGGGUAGCUGGAUUGAGAGAUCGACCAGCCACACUGGAACUGAGACACGGUCCAGACUCCUACGGGAGGCAGCAGUGGGGAAUCUUGCGCAAUGGGCGAAAGCCUGACGCAGCAACGCCGCGUGCGGGAUGAAGGCCUUCGUCGGUUGGUAAACCGCUUUCAGUAGGGACGAAAAUGACGGUACCUGCAGAAGAAGCUCCGGCUAACUAACGUCGCACGCACGCCGCCGGGUAAAGUAGGUGUGUACG
rnacentral:rRNA from 1 species